AUAAGCAUUAUACGGCGAAACUGCGAAUGGCUCAUUAUAUAAGUUAUCGUUUAUUUGAUAGCACAUUCCUACUUGGAUAACCGUGGUAAUUCUAGAGCUAAUACACGCUAAAAAUCCCGACUUCGGAAGGGACGUAUUUAUUAGAUUAAAAACCAAUGCCCUCUGGGCUCUCUGGUGAAUCAUGAUAACUGCUCGAAUCGCAUGGCCUCGUGCCGGCGAUGGUUCAUUCAAAUUUCUUCCCUAUCAACUUUCGAUGUUUGGGUAUUGGCCAAACAUGGUUACAACGGGUAACGGAGGGUUAGGGCUCGACCCCGGAGAAGGAGCCUGAGAGACGGCUACUACAUCCAAGGAAGGCAGCAGGCGCGCAAAUUACCCAAUCCCGACACGGGGAGGUAGUGACAAUAAAUACUGAUACAGGGCUCUUUCGGGUCUUGUAAUUGGAAUGAGUACAAUUUAAAUCCCUUAACGAGGAACAAUUGGAGGGCAAGUCUUGCC
rnacentral:rRNA from 2 species